AUUGAACGCUGGCGGCGGGCCUAACACAUGCAAGUCGAACGAGUGGCGGACGGGUGAGUAAUGUCGGGGAAACUGCCUGAUGGAGGGGGAUCACUACUGGAAACGGUAGCUAAUACCGCAUACCAUCGGAUGUGCCCAGAUGGGAUUAGCUAGUAGGUGGGGUAACGGCUCACCUAGGCGACGAUCCCUAGCUGGUCUGAGAGGAUGACCGGCCACACUGGAACUGAGACACGGUCCAGACUCCUACGUGAGGCAGCAGGGGGGAAUAUUGCACAAUGGGCGCAAGCCUGAGGCAGCCAUGCCGCGGGUAUGAAGAAGGCGUUCGGGUGGUAAAGUACUUUCAGCGAGGAUGCGUUACUCGCAGAAGAAGCACCGGCUAACUCCGUGCCAGCAGCCGCGGUAAUUC
rnacentral:rRNA from 1 species